GGCAGUGGCUUAACAGCAGGUAGGACCUAUCAUUUCCUGCGCUUUCAAAGGCGCGGUUUUGACUUGUUCUGCUUAGGAAAGUCCGCCCACCAUGAAAAGUGACUAGUGGAAGCUAGCUGGUGAAAGCCAGGGCAACGGCUCAGAAACGAGACCACCUAUGGAUAGGAAUGAGGGUAAUGAAGCACUCUGGCAACAGGGCGCGAGUUAACAACCCGACCGCUUUAAGCCAUGGGAAUGGGUGAAACGGCGAGUCCUCACUGGUGCAAGUCCUUUGAGACGCUUAGUAGAAUGUUAAGCACAGCCUGCCCAUGCAAGACGUGGAGGCUGACAAAAGGCGGCUUAUAACUGCU
rnacentral:RNase_P_RNA from 1 species